rnacentral:rRNA from 1 species
UAGGCCCUACGGGAGGUAACAGUGGGGAAUAUUGCACAAUGGGGGAAACCCUGAUGCAGCGACGCCGCGUGAGUGAAGAAGUAUUUCGGUAUGUAAAGCUCUAUCAGCAGGGAAGAAAAAAGACGGUACCUGACUAAGAAGCCCCGGCUAACUACGUGCCAGCAGCCGCGGUAAUACGUAGGGGGCAAGCGUUAUCCGGAUUUACUGGGUGUAAAGGGAGCGUAGCCGGCGCGGCAAGUCUGAAGUGAAAGGCAGGGGCUUAACCCCUGAACUGCUUUGGAAAC